AUUGAACGCUGGCGGCAUGCUUUACACAUGCAAGUCGAACGGCAGCGCGGGCUUCGGCCUGGCGGCGAGUGGCGAACGGGUGAGUAAUACAUCGGAACGUGCCCAGGAGUGGGGGAUAGCUCGGCGAAAGCCGGAUUAAUACUGCAUACGACCUGAGGGUGAAAGCGGGGGAUCUUCGGACCUCGCGCUAUUGGAGCGGCCGAUGGCAGAUUAGCUAGUUGGUGGGGUAAAGGCCUACCAAGGCGACGAUCUGUAGCUGGUCUGAGAGGACGACCAGCCACACUGGGACUGAGACACGGCCCAGACUCCUACGGGAGGCAGCAGUGGGGAAUUUUGGACAAUGGGCGAAAGCCUGAUCCAGCAAUGCCGCGUGUGUGAUGAAGGCCUUCGGGUUGUAAAGCACUUUUGGCGGGAACGAAAAGGACUGUGCCAAUACCACGGUUCGAUGACGGUACCCGCAGAAUAAGCACCGGCUAACUACGUG
rnacentral:rRNA from 1 species